UGCUGAUGAAACAGUCUGACUGGCCUGAUGCAGGGAACUGGAUCUGUUUCAUCAUGGGAAACACAGAGCUUUCAUCUGCAUCUCACAGUUUUCAUCAGCGGAUGGAGCCUGUUGUCAUGGAGACGGCUCAGUUGUCAUCACGUGACGUAAAGUAUGAAACUUGGUAGCCCCUGUCUGUGUACAAGGAUGUCAAAUUGAAAAAAAGACCAUCUGCUGGUGAAUGCUGCCGACAGGAAGCCGAGCACCGCGUGUUUCUCAAGACUUCCUGAGGAUGUCACGAUUCCCGCGACCGUCAUCAGCCGCGCUUUAAAAAAAGAGACACGCUGCCCCGGCUUGAUCCGAGAACUUCCUGACGACGGGGGAUGACUUCCUGUCAGGAGGGGAAGUGAUGAUUAUCUGCACCCUGUCAGGCUCUCCGUACACCGCACCAGGUACAGCUACUUCCCAAAUCCCUGUCAUUGUCUCGCAGAGUUCCAGGGGAGGACGGGGAUUAAGAGAUGAAGCCCUGUCUGAGUCUGUGCUAAUCUCUGGAUGUUUUAACACCUUUCCUCGUCUAACAUCCUCAGCCUCACUCAGCUUCCUCUCCUCCCGCUGCGAUGCUGCAACAGAGCUGUUAUUUUCACUGAUGAUGACAUGAUGGGAAAGUCGUGCAGGUUUUCCUUUCAGCGUACAACAACAAGAUAAGAUCUCUAUGAUAGAUAGAUUUACGGCCUCACAUGAUGCACAACUAAUGCUUUCUCAAUAGAGAGAAAAUAAAAUCCAUAUUGACUUUCUCAUACUGCUACAUUAUCUUGGAUUGUGUCCUAGCUGCAGCAGAUUUAUUGAAGAUAACCUUCUGUUUCUCCUUUUAAUUGACUUUUUCUUUACUGUAACACAGCAUGUGGGCGGAAUAAACAGCACUUAACUGCACACGUGCGUUAACACAGCCGGCUGUGAAAACCUUCCUGAUUGUUCUGGCCAACUGCGACGCACAGCAGAUUGUGAUUCAGGGUUUGACAGCAGCUGCUCACAAACUGACAAGCUCCGGGAGAAAGUGAGAUGACAGCGCUAUAAACUCGCAGAUUUACACCUGAGCUCGACUGCGCCCUGCGGGGAGGAAACUUCUUACUGCUGGAUUCAAGAAUUACCAAAUAACAGAGAGCAUUCUAUAAAGGAGGUAAUUGUGCCUUUGUUUGAGGCUUGACAGUGUAGAGAGAGAGAGAGAGAGAGAGAGAGAGAGGAUAAUAUGGAGAAAGAGAGGGGUACGACAGGCAACAAGGGGAUGUUACAGUGAUAUGGUAGGAGCUUUAAUCAUUAAGCCGGAGAUAUACUCGCUGUUCUACCAGGCCACGGACACGUCACAUUCAUUUCUGAGGAUGUACACAAACAACGAUGAGGCAGCCAUCAUGUGUGGGCGACAGAGUAGUUAAUGUAUUUAUUUCUCCAGCCUUAGAGCACCAGGACGCCCCAUCAGAUGAUAUUUUAUAAAUUAAAUGUUUAUAAUAAUACAUAUAAAAUAUUUAUCAAGCAGUCAAAAACGAUUUUUAAAGCAAUGACUUGCAUAUAAAGCUGAAACAGUUACUCAAUUAAACAGUGAAUCGGCUGAAGACGUAUCUAUUAGUACUUUGAUAAUCAAUAAAUAGACUUAAUUCAUUAUAAUGAAGCUUAUCGAACACCUGUAGACCAGUCUAUUUAUUUUAGAGCUGCAGUAACACUAAUUACUUUCAUUCAUUAAUCUCUAAACAAUUUUCUAUCAAAUAUUACAGACUAAUGAAAAUAUGAUUCAUACAAUUUCAAAUUAGUUGCUAAUUGUUUUAACUUUUCAUUUCAUUGUUUUAUUGUGAAAUUACUGUGAACAGCUACGGUAAGUAGAGGGACGUUCACUUCAUUAAGCUUCACAGGCAUCUGCUUGUUGUAGGUUUUUUUUUUUUUUACCAUUAGCUAAUGUAUUAAAAACCAGAUUUAAUCAUCAAUAAGUACACAUCCCUCACUUUCAUACUCAAAACAAGACUUAAUACAUAACACAAUAGUAAAACACAGCAACCAGCACCAAAGUCUGAGACCAUCAUACCGACCAGCUCACUGUUCACAUAUUCAGGUGUCACCUCCUUCACACAUCUGGAAGGCUGAAACUGCACAUCUGGAAGGCUGAAACUGCACUUCAUCCCCAAACUUAUGUCUUCUUCGUCUUAUAUCAUAAAACCUGGAUGUUUUAGGGUCCACACACCUCUCCGACAGCUCAACAUCACAGCACAAACACACAUGAUGUCAGCAACCCCACUACAAACACUGAUGAGAGGUAAAAAGUGAACACAGCUGAGGGGAAACACAGACACAAACAGUCUGUUGAUGCUCUGUGGGGUAGCUCUGCCUUGUGGUCACUAAAAACAUCCACACAUGUCAAACAAAUACCCCCAAACCAGCAGCAGGAGCAGCUCAUUAUUACAGAGGUAUAAAGCUGGACAAUCACAGCAGCUAACUCUAUCUGAAUGUUACUGAGCAUCCGACAAUCACUGCACAAAUAAUGCUAACGUUACCUAUGGUUGUUAUGUUACACCUGCAGAUGGCUGGCAAUAAUUAGCUAAUAUUCAUAAAUAUCUUAAAAACAAACAACACAAUAGAAAUAUUGAUUCGUACCUUUAGAAGAAGUCCUGCUCCAUGGUCAACUUCACUGUUGCUGUCAUCUUCAAACGCUAAUUAGCGUUUAGUUAACGUAGCUAACGUUAAGCUAACUAAACUAGCAUUACGUUAACGUUAAUUUAAGCGUAACGACGCAUUGGACGCCGGAUCUUACGUCAACGUCGCCGCCAUAUUGGACCGGGCUCGACUGGCCUGUAAACAAAUACAAUUUUUAUAUUCUAAGGUUUACGAUAUACCUGGAGUAUAAUUAUAUAAGCUCUAAUAGCAGCGAGACGUUUGAGAGAGGAGAAAUAAACGGAAAAUAAUUAAUCGACGUAAUAUCAAUAACAGUGUUUGUUUACAGGCCAGUCGAGCCCGGUCCAAUAUGUUUAGCUGUGGCUCUUUAGCUCCCUGCUCUCACCUGUUGAAAGGGGCAGUUACUGUCAUUCCCACGGUCUGUUCCUUCACUUCACUUAAUAAAAACAUAUUCUUGGGUCUUUCUUAUAUCUUUCUUGUAGCCAAAGUUUUCCAAAACUGUCUAGAAGCUAAAUCUAAACACUCCCUCUGCAGCAGGGAAAAGCCAAUUAAUACACCUGGUCCAGGUAGCCACGCCCCUUACUGAUCAAUACAUGAGAGAUGAUUGGUUAGAGCAGUAAUAUAGCAGUAGCGGUCAAACUGUAUCUAUAUGUGCUACAUUUACUCAAAUACUUUUAACUUUCUGGUACUUGAUUCUUAUAAUCUACAUUUCAAAUGCUAAUAUUGUUCUUUUUACUCUUUUUGCAGACUGAUAUUUUGCAUACAAAACCUUUUUUAUUUGCUUCUAAAAAAUAUCUUGUGAAUUAAACUACUCAACAGUAGGCUAUAAAGGUAAUAAUAACAAAAAAAUAUCCAAUAAUGUAAUAUAUAAAAUAAUAUAAGGAUGACACUGGGCCAUUCUAGAAAAUCAGAAUCAGGUUUAUUGUCAUGUAGAUUUGUCACAUACAUUGAAUUGGUUGGCGCACAACAAUAGUACAAUAAAAAAAAUAUGAAUAAACAAAUAAAUAAAGCCAUUGUUUUAAGUUGUAGAGUUUGUGCAGGAGUGUGAAAAAGAUCACAGUAUUAGAUAUAAAGAAUAUUUGUAAGAUAACUCUACCAUACGCACAUUUACUUCAAACUUUAAAUGCAGAACCUUUACUUGUAAUGGAGCAUUUUUACAUUAUAAUAUUGAUAUUUUUGCUCGAGGAAAGGAUCAGAUUACUGUGGUGGUUUUGCAUUUCUGCCUGCACCAGGUUAUACCAGCAAAUCCUUAAUUCAAUCAAAAUAUCAUUUUUGUAAGCAUGCUGCUCCCGUGGCUGAGCACCUACAUGUCCUGAUGUCCGA